UCCCUGGUGGUCCAGGGUCUAAGACUCGGCGCUCCCAAAGCAGGGGGCCUGAGUUCAAUCCCCGGCCAGGGAA
rfam:Ovis aries breed Texel chromosome 11, whole genome shotgun sequence.